rnacentral:lncRNA from 1 species
AAAAUUUUAAUUAAAUUUUAGAAAUAAUAUAAGGGUUAAAUAUGUUUUUAGUCCCUAUAGGGCGAUUUUGGUUUUAAUCCCUCUUUCAAUGUAAGAUACAAUUUAGUCCUCAAACUUUAGGAAACUUUGGUUUUAGUCCUCAAAAACUAACUCCCUAAAAAAAACUGCUGAUGUGGCUAAUGGUGAUACAAAACGCUAUUUUCUCUUCUUUUUUUUUCCUUUCCUGACACAAAGCUGAUCUUUGACUGACUGCUUCUCUCCCUUCCUUUUGCUCCAUCUCUUUCCUUGCUUCUUCACUUCUCUCCCUCAUUCUUCCACUCUUCCAUCUCCCGUC